AAAACAACGUGCCGGGAGUCAGCUGUUCUCUCGGGGUUCAUCGCACCUCAACCCCCCGGUCAGCUGUGCGCUGGCGAGCCGGCUGUGAGUCCGGUGUCAGGGCAGCAGAACCGGACGUUUCCGAACACGUUGGAGCACGUGUGGAAUUAAGUGAAAUCUUGAUAAACCGAGCAGAUAUUUCAGGCUUUGCUACUUCCGUUAACACAAUCUACUUUGACCCGCAAUGAAUCAUGGGAUAGGGUGGCCCACGAAGGAUACACCGGACCCAUCCUUCUUAUCUGGGGAAAAGAAGGACGCAUUUGUCCGCCCUAUUUGGAGGAGCCUGUGAAGCUGUAGACGUCAUUGCCUCACAGUGACGUAAUCGGCAACAAAUGCGUCCUUCAAAGAAUGCAGUUCCUCAAUUUGGACGCAGCAAUAGUGUAUUAUUAUUAUUUUUUUAUUAAACAAGCAGUAUACAAAAACUCCUUGAGGUACAAAGAAUGUUGCAACAUAGGUAUAAAAAGAAACACAGAACAUGGGGCUAAGACUAAAAACAAACACAUAAACAGUAAGGCAACUGAAUAGAAAUAGAGCGAGAUUUAAAACAAAAGAAAAGUAGAGAUAUUGGCAGUUACUUUUUUUGCAUAAACGGGUUUCAAAUGUUUCAGUGAGGUGUAAUACAGUUUAAAUUGGUUAAGAAAGGAGUAGAACAUUUCCAUUUACCGCAGUGUAUAUGAUAUUUAACAAGCAAGAAAACAAUAUUUACCAUGUCAGAUAUUUGACAAUCAAGGUCAUCAACAUAGUAUAAUAUGUGGUUGAUGGUUAUCUCUGGGAUGUCUUCGAUUUUAAGGGACAACCAGUUUUUAAUGUCUCUCCAUAGUUUAAAAGAAAAAGGACAGGAAAAAAAAGAAUGAUUACGGGAAUCGUCUGGACAUUCACAAAAGGCACAACAAGUUGAAUCAAAUUUAAAUCUUUUGUGCAAAAAUUCUGCCACUGGGUUAAUAUUGUGAGAGAUUUUGAAAUGAGUCUCUUUAACCUUAGGUGAUAUCAGCCAUUUCACAUACUUGGGGAACGCCUUCUCAAUUAAAGACAAAUUUAUUGUUACCAAGAUAUUAUUAUUGUAAUUAUUAAAUAAUUUAGAUUUGAAGGCAGUCACAAGCAUAACAUUAUUGCAUUUUCUAUCAGUCACACUAUAUUCUCAAAUCUUCAGUUUGGGUAAAGAUGAAGUAAUACUUAAAUAUCUUGAGGUGUUUUGGAUAAGAUGGAUCAGAGCUACAGGAAUAGCUUUGCAUACUUUUAGAUACUCAUUACAAGUACAGUUCAGAUUAAAUUUUUUGGUAAAAUCUCUAUGAUUUAACAAGACACCAUUACUAUCCAUUAAGUCAGUUAUAAAUAGAAUACCCUUUUCAUACCAGUCAGUUUUAAAAAUAGAUUUUCUAUUUAUUAGUAUUGACCUGUUAUUCCACACUACGGAUCCAUGUGGGGUAAAAUUGUGGGUAAAUAUCAUUUUCCAAAAAUGUAAAACUUGUUUAUGAAAAUUAGACAGUGAAAUAGGAAUCUUGGUUAAUUCAAAAUCACAUUUGAGCAGGAAAUCCAAGCCACCAAGGCUUUUAAAUAUAGAUUUAGGGAUAUGAAACCACAUUGAGUUGGAAUGAGACAAAUAAGUCUUCAGCCAAUUUAUUCUAAAUGAUUCAAUCAGAGCCUCAAAAUCUAAGGCUCUAAUUCCUCCCUUAUCAUAGUCUUUAAUAACAUGAGAUCGUCGUAGAUAGUGAGUUUUGUUCCUCCAAAUAAAUUGAAAAAUUAUUGAAUUGGCUUUCUUAAUAUUUUUGUCAGAGAUAAAAGUAGAAUGGCAUGGAUAAAUGAAUUUGGACACUCCUUCAGCUUUGGAUAGAAGGGUUCGUCCAAAAAUAGUUAGAUCUCUAGAUAACCAACGGUUCAAGGAUCUCUUCAUAUCAUCCAAGCAUCUUCCAGUGUUUUCCUCCUCUCUUCUAAUAGUAUUUUUUUAAAUCAAUAUUCCCAGAUAUUUAACUUCGGACUUAACUGUUAUGGAGGCAACAGACUUGACAGAGCUGGAAUGGAUCGGCAGAAGUUCACAUUUAUUAAUAUUAAGAGACAGACCAGACGCUCCGGAAACCAUUAAAAUGGAUUUUAGCGCGAUGUCUACCAUAGUUAUAUCUCUUAGAAAAAUUGUUGUAUCGUCUGCAAAUUGACUUAUCUUGGAUUCCUUAUGAAAAAUUUUAAUACCAGGCAAGUUAGAAUUUUUCAUAAUUAGUAAGGAAAGCAUUUGAGUUGUUAAUAUAAAUAAUUUCGGUGAAAUUGGGCAGCCCUGCCUGAUUCCUCUUGACAGAGAAACUAGGGGUCAUACUCAUUCCCAGGGAAACUGAGCUACUUAUGUCAUUAUAAAAUAAUCUGAUUAUAUUACAAAAUUUCUCCCCAAAGCCAAAAUAUUUUAAGGUUUUUAUUAUAAAGCAGUGUUCCAGUGAGUCAAAAGCCUUAAAGAAAUCCAAGAAUAAAAUAAAACUGUCACUAUCAAUAAAGCUACGAUAAUCAAUCAUAUCAAAAAUCAGUCUAGUAUGAUGUUGGAUAUUUCUUCCCUUUAAAAACGCUGAUUGGCACUCAUUAAUAAUCAUUCCUAAUCCACUGUUUAAGUGAUUGGCAUAAACAAGAACUAAAACUUUGUAAUCUGUACAUAAAAGAGUGAUGGGUCUCCAAUUGUCUAGUAAUAAAGGAUCUUUGUUGGCUUUGGGGAACAGAGUAAUCAGACCUCGUUUCAUGGUGGGAGAGAGGCUAUUGUUUGAAAUGCAUUCCAGCAGGGUCUCAAAUAAUAGUUUUCGUAAAUCUUUCCAGAAGAAAAUAUCAAAUUCAGUGGUUAACCCAUCUAGGCCUGGAGAUUUACCCUUUCCCAUUUGCUGUAUUGCUACGUCAAGCUCUCCGAUUCUUAAGUCAUCUUCCAUAAGAUUUCUAAAAUCAAGAUUAAUUUUUUCAACAGAUUCCUGAAUUUCAUCAAAAAAAUGACUGGCAAUUGGAUUCCGAAUACUUAGAACAAUAAAGAUUACUAUAAAAAUU